UAGGUUACCAGAAACACGACGCCAAAUCUGUGAUAAUGUUGCUCUGAAAGUGCUUUACAUGUCCGCGGUAUUAUAAUCACGUGUUUUUCGCUGCUUCUGCUUCUUCUUCUUCUUCCUCCUCCUCCUCCUCCUAUGUUGUUCAAUGGCGGUUGUCAAAGAGCUUUAGGCGCAUUACCGCCACAAACGCAUUUUCGCUGCCCCUAGUGGCAAAAUACAAAUCUGUGGCAAAAAAAUGCGUUAAUUUCCGCUUUAACUAGCUUUUACUGUUGCAAUCCAAUCUAGUGAAUCAGUAGUUUGAAACUAUAGGUAGUUAAUACAGAGAGCUAAAGGACUUAGAAUAAUAAAUUUACAAUCAAUUCAGGUCCUAAACUUUGGGACUGAGCCCUAUCACAAGGAUAUGUUCUUUACCAAAUUUGACACCAUUUCAGUUUAAAUAGCCAGUUAUUAAACUGAAUACUUUGUAUACUGCCAUUUCUGCAGUAGUCACUUCACUACACAACAACAACAGAAAUCUGUGAUGCAGUCGAACACAAGGAGGGCCUAAUGACGCUCUCCAAGGACGGCGGUCUUGAGGAGGAGAGGGGGGCUGACUUACAGGGAAGAAGCGCCCGAAAUGCCACAGAGGAGAGAUAGCUAAGAAAAGGGAGAGAGAAUGGUGUCCCCACUAGAGAGAUGAACACACUUCCAGGAAAUAGGAAACCAACCCAAGUAAUGAGAUAUA